rnacentral:tRNA from 1 species
GCCACCCUAGCUCAGUUGGUAGAGCAGCUCACUCGUAAUGAGCAGGUCGUCGGUUCAAUUCCGACGGGUGGCU